AUUGAACGCUGGCGGCAGGCCUAACACAUGCAAGUCGAGCGGAUGAAGGGAGCUUGCUCCUGGAUUCAGCGGCGGACGGGUGAGUAAUGCCUAGGAAUCUGCCUGGUCGUGGGGGAUAACGUCCGGAAACGGGCGCUAAUACCGCAUACGUCCUGAGGGAGAAAGUGGGGGAUCUUCGGACCUCACGCUAUCAGAUGAGCCUAGUUCGGAUUAGCUAGUUGGUGGGGUAAAGGCCUACCAAGGCGACGAUCCGUAACUGGUCUGAGAGGAUGAUCAGUCACACUGGAACUGAGACACGGUCCAGACUCCUACGGGAGGCAGCAGUGGGGAAUAUUGGACAAUGGGCGAAAGCCUGAUCCAGCCAUGCCGCGUGUGUGAAGAAGGUCUUCGGAUUGUAAAGCACUUUAAGUUGGGAGGAAGGGCAGUAAGUUAAUACCUUGCUGUUUUGACGUUACCAACAGAAUAAGCACCGGCUAACUUCGUG
rnacentral:rRNA from 1 species